rnacentral:ribozyme from 1 species
UGCCCAGCAACUCCUAUCCCUACCUCCUCGCGGUACUGGCCGGGGUACGAGUAAUUUAGGGAAGAUCGGGUAACCAACCCCCCGGGUGGGAACUUUGGUCGUAUGCUGACAGGGAAGG